AUAGCUGGAAAUACAGAAACAAAGGAAUUGUCCUGUUGGUGGAAGCCAGUGGUUUAUUUCUUCACUAUCCUGUCUCUAGCAAUGUCUGAUGAUACCCGAUGUGCAAGAAUACUGCGUAAAGAUCAUUAUGGGAUCUGAUGAAGAAGCAGAACGUAGGAAAAAACCCACCACUGAAUAAGGACCACUGAAUAAUAAUACGAAGUCCUCUGUAACAAUGCAGAAAGUGCAAAUUUCACAGAUGAAUAGCUAAAUACUCACGUGGCUGUAAUGAAGAUUGUUUCUGCAGACCAGAAACAAAGGAAAUGCCUCAGAUGAAAAAUUAGCAGCAAUCAUAUUGAUUUGGAAGGACUUCUUUGGAUUUUGCUGGACUUUUUGAAGGGCUCUUGGCUGGAGUCUUCUCAGGAGUCUUGGCUGCAGGUGUUUCUGCAGUCUUGUCCGCUUUCUCAAAGCAAGUGUCCAAGGAAGUUUCGGCAGAUGUUCUCCAGGAAGAUGGGUGAACUUCUUCGCUGGCAUGGUGUUGCAUCAGAU